rnacentral:misc_RNA from 1 species
AAGUGAAUUGGAGCAACUAUGUGGUGAACCCAUCAAACUUGCUUAGUUGUGGCAAUUUCUCUAAUGUACUGCAGAUAUAUAUAUAUUUUUUUUCCAGCAAUCAUGGUAAUAAGUACUAUUUAUCCAAAAUAAAUUUACUAUUUUUCUUGAAUGUUUUGAUACUAUAUUUUGUUGAAUAGUGGAAUGGAUUUUUUGACUGCUCAUUCUUGGUUUAAAAUCAUUUACACAGCCUUAAAACUCGUAGUACAUUUCUAAAAGUUUUAGAAUCAAGAGCUAAUAUAGGCUCUAAAUUUGACUCGUCAAAUUAAUUUAAUGCUAUGCGUAGUUAUUAAAGCCGUGCCUAAGGCUCAUUAGGCCUUAGCACUAGUGCCUCGACAGGAGAAAGGCAUGUGACAUUCAUCAGGUCCUUGCCCUAUGCACCUAAUUGUGUGCCUUGUUCCAAGUGCAAAGUUAGAAAGAUGUGCCUUUUUUAUUUUCACAUUCGGUGAGUACUUUCAUUGAUAAAAAGUACUUUCAUGAGAUUAUGAUGCUACUCUUGAUGA